AAAUAGGUUUUUUUCAAAACCAACAAAACAACAACUACAAAUUAU
rfam:Sphaeroforma arctica JP610 cont1.8341, whole genome shotgun sequence.